UAGGGAAUUUUCGUCAAUGGGGGGAACCCUGAACGAGCAAUGCCGCGUGUGUGAAGAAGGUCUUCGGAUCGUAAAGCACUGUUGUAAGUGAAGAAUGCCACAUAGAGGAAAUGCUAUGUGGGUGACGGUAGCUUACCGGAAAGCCACGGCUAACUACGUGCCAGCAGCCGCGGUAAUACGUAGGUGGCAAGCGUUAUCCGGAAUCAUUGGGCGUAAAGGGUGCGUAGGCGGCACGAUAAGUCUGAAGUAAAAGGCAACAGCUCAACUGUUGUAUGCUUUGGAAACUGUCGAGCUAGAGUGCAGAAGAGGGCGAUGGAAUUCCAUGUGUAGCGGUAAAAUGCGUAGAUAUAUGGAGGAACACCAGUGGCGAAGGCGGUCGCCUGGUCUGUAACUGACACUGAUGCACGAAAGCGUGGGGAGCAAAUAGGAUUAGAUACC
rnacentral:rRNA from 1 species